AAAAAAUGCACUUCUCUCCAGAUGAUCCUUUAGUGGAACUUUCUGUUGUGUCCAGUGAGGAUAAAACUGCUUCAACCGUGCAAAAACUUCUUUGCUAUGGAACUGGACUUAACCCAGUGAUCAAGUGGCUCCCCGAAUCUGUGGGGAAUAAUAAAAGUGAAGUAACAAUGAAUGAAGAUGGAUUUGUGAAGGUGUCCAGCGAGCUAUCAGUUUCAGAACAAGAGUGGAAACGUGGAACUACAUUCACCUGCCAAGUCAAUGAUCAGGGUGGUCUCAAAACUGUCCAAAAGAACACCAGUUUUUGUGCAGUCACUCAAGAUCAUGCUAGGAAUGCACAGGUUUACCUGUUGGGUCCCUCCAUCAGUGAUAUGCCAGAGGAGGAUCCUGUCUCUGUCACAUGUCUGCUGUUGGGCCACAGGCUCCAGGACUUCUCAGUUAAUUGCAAAGUAGGGACAGACAAUUUGUCUUCAAAUGUGAUCAAAACUGAAAACCACGGCAAUGGAACGGAGAGUGUUCAAAGAGUUUUAAGGGUUCCAGCUGAUAUGUGGAAAAACCAUGAAAAUGUUUCCUGUGAGGUGAAACACCCCUGUUCUAAUGCCCAGACAUACAUCACCUCUAAAACCAAAGGCAAGUGUUUAUAAACACCAACAUUUAGGAAACCAUUUAAAUAUUUUGUUUUAAGUGACUUUAACCAUUUUAAAUGUCUGACUAUAAGUUAAUUAUUACUAAAAGGACUAUCCAUUUUAAUCAGCAAUGUACUAUUUUAUGUAAGGAGUCAAGCGUUUUAAAGUCCAAAGCUUAUGUAUGAUCUGUGCUCUUUCUCUGCCAACAUGUCUGUGAUAAGG